rnacentral:rRNA from 1 species
CCUACGGGCGGCAGCAGUGGGGAAUAUUGGUCAAUGGGCGCAAGCCUGACCCAGCAACGCCGCGUGAAGGAAGAAGGCUUUCGGGUUGUUAACUUCUUUUCUGAGGGACGAAGAAAGUGACGGUACCUCAGGAAUGAGCCACGGCGAACUACGUGCCAGCAGCCGCGGUAAUCCGUAGGUGGCAAGCGUUAUCCGGAUUUAUUGGUUGUAAAGGGCGUGUAGGCGGGAAAGCAAGUCAGAUGUGAAGACGCAGGGCUCAACCCUGAGCCUGCAUUUGAAACUGUGUUUCUUGAGUGCUGGAGAGGAAAGCGGAAUUCGGUGUGUAGCGGUGAAAUGCGUAGAUAUAAGGAGGAACACCAGUGGCGAAGGCGGAUUGCUGGACAGUAACUGACGCUGAGGCGCGAAAGCGUGGGGAGCAAACAGGAUUAGAUACCCGUGUAGUC